rnacentral:rRNA from 1 species
GCCAGACUCCUACGGGAGGCAGCAGUGGGGAAUAUUGCACAAUGGGCGAAAGCCUGAUGCAGCAACGCCGCGUGAAGGAAGAAGGGUUUCGGCUCGUAAACUUCUAUUAACAGGGACGAAAGAAAUGACGGUACCUGAAUAAGAAGCCCCGGCUAACUACGUGCCAGCAGCCGCGGUAAUACGGAGGAUGCGAGCGUUAUCCGGAUUUAUUGGGUUUAAAGGGUGCGCAGGCGGAGGCACAAGUCAGGGGUAAAUUCGGGGGGCCCACCCCCGCUCCGCCGUUGAAACUGUGUCCCUUGAGUGCGCGAAGGGUAGGCGGAAUGCGUGGUGUAGCGGUGAAAUGCAUAGAUAUCACGCAGAACUCCGAUCGCGAAGGCAGCCUACCGGCGCGCAACUGACGCUCAUGCACGAAAGCGUGGGUAUCGAACAGGAUUAGAUACCCCAGUACA